rnacentral:rRNA from 1 species
CCUACGGGUGGCAGCAGUGAGGAAUAUUGGUCAAUGGCCGGAAGGCUGAACCAGCCAUGCCGCGUGAAGGUCAGUGCCCUAUGGGUUGUAAACUUCUUUUAUAAAGGAAUAAAACGAGGCACGUGUGCCUUUUUGCAUGUACUUUAUGAAUAAGGAUGGGCUAACUCCGUGCCAGCAGCCGCGUUAAUACGGAGGAUCCGAGCGUUAGCGGGAUUUAUGGGGUUUAAAGGGAGCGUAGAUGGGUUGUUAGGUCAGUUGGGAAAGUUUGCGGCUCAACCGUAAAAUUGCAAUUGAUACUGGCAGUCUUGAGUACAGUUGAGGUAGGCGGAAUUCGUGGUGUAGCGGUGAAAUGCUUAGAUAUCACGAAGAACCCCGAUUGCGAAGGCAGCUUACUAAACUGUGACUGACAUUGAUGCUCGAAAGUGUGGGUAUCAAACAGGAUUAGAUACCCGGGUAGUC